rfam:Drosophila sechellia strain Rob3c scaffold_10564 genomic scaffold, whole genome shotgun sequence.
AACUCUAAGCGGUGGAUCACUCGGCUCAUGGGUCGAUGAAGAACGCA